rnacentral:rRNA from 1 species
UACGAAGGGGGCUAGCGUUGCUCGGAAUCACUGGGCGUAAAGCGCACGUAGGCGGAUUGCUAAGUCAGGGGUGAAAUCCUGGAGCUCAACUCCAGAACUGCCUUUGAUACUGGCGACCUUGAGUCCGGGAGGGGUGAGUGGAACUGCGAGUGUAGAGGUGAAAUUCGUAGAUAUUCGCAAGAACACCAGUGGCGAAGGCGACUACCUGGCCUGUUCUUGACGCUGAGGCGCAAAGCUAGGGGAGCAAACGGG